rnacentral:lncRNA from 1 species
AUGAAGCUAUACAGGAAGUAUAAUUCUGACAUCUGCUCGGCUUCUGGGGAGACCUCAGGAAAUGUACAAUCGUGGCGAAACACAAAGGGAAAGCACACACAUCACAUGGCUGGAGUAGGAGCAAGAGAGAGGGACAGGAGGUACCGUACUUCUAAACAACCAGAUAUCACAAGAACUUAUUCACUGUGGUGAGGAAAGUAUCACAGGCCCCACUUUCAACAUGAGGGAUUACAGUUCGACAUGAGAUUUGGGUGGAUCCAAAUCGUUCAGGGUCUCUGUCUCAGAGGUCAUGAAAUUCAGCUAAGUUCUGUGCUUUCUAGGCCACCUAUCCAGAGGCUUUGGACAGCCUGCUUAAAAAACUUGUGAACCCUGAAUACCAUCUCUCCAAGACUAGUUCAAGAACAAGCCCAAUUGCCAACUUCAACAUCAUUUAUCAUCUCUGAACUUGCACAGUGCCAACAAUCUUCUGAUCCUAGAAGUGACAAAAAUAUUGUGGCCCAUACAUUUUUAUGCCUUCUCCUCUAAAGAUUUUCCUCUCCUUGUCUUCCUGGGGAGAUGCUGAAAUUGGUAUGUAAGCAAUGUGGAAGGAAACAUAUUUCUAGAAAUGACCUUGUUUUCCAGAAAGCCAACAUUGCUACUUUGCCAAAUUACUCCUGGGUGAAAUGUAUAAAGACAAAAUUGUCUCAAGGGAUUGUGAGAAGCAGCAAGGACUUGAAAAGAAUAUUAUAUUUUUUUAAAUGAAGAAAUCCACCUUGAGUCAGCUUCUGAAAAUAUGCUAAAAGCAUUUUCUUCAAGCAGUACAAAAAUGUUUAGUUUGUGAGAUUGUUUCAAAGGGAUUUCAAUUUUACUACUGACUAAAUCUUUUAAUGCAGAAUUGGAAGAGAAAAUGUCUUCACAUUAAUCUACCACAGUAAGUGCCUUUAAUUUAGAUAAAGGAAAGCUGAAUAAUUAGAUGACAGCAUAAAUACCAGCAAUGAUAACAAAAAAAAUAUGUACCUUCAAAAAUUGCAGGUGCAAGUGACCUGCUAUUUAAUCUACAGGGCUCCAUAAAAUGUUUAUUUCUGUCAUCUAAUGUUGCACUGUUAAAAUCUUACUGAUAAAAUACUCAACAGUGAAUUUUAUUAAUAAUUAAGUUUAAAAAACCCUUAGGAUUUAAUUUUGAUUCUCAGAACUUUAUGAUGAUGGUAUUUGUUUUCAUCUCAGCCUUGGUUCAAUAUUGAUUUUAUUAUUUGGCCUUUCGGUAUUUGGCAAACUAUGGUUACAGUGUUUUCCAUAGUAUUCAGGAGCUCAGGGAAAGGCCUCACUUUUUCAGCAGUAUAAACAGCUUAUUUCCCUAACCAAUCCAUUCAUGUAGACAAGUGUAAUUAUAAAUUCCUUGUGAUCCAUUAUCUUGGAGUGGGGAUGGGCUACAGUAAUAAGCUCCAGUUCUCAGAUUCUCCUUAUCUCUCUCUAAGAAUUCUAAAUGGGAUGCUAUCAUUUUUCCACCUCAAAUGAC